UACUUACAGCUUCAACUUCAAAUGUCUGAACAUGUCUCACUCAGCCAUGACACCCAGGAGACAGGGCCUUCAAGCUUGAUUCUGUAUUCCCCUUCCCCUGAUACGAUCACAUGUAAUAGAUGCAUGUGAAGCUAUGGGAAGAAAUGAGGUGGUUGAGAACAAGAGUGAAUGGUGAGAAGGAACCAGGACUGACCCCUGUAGGACACUAACAGUCAGAGGCCAGAGACAGGAGGCACAGUCAGCAAGGGAAGCCAAGAAGAAGUGAUGAAAGAAGUAGACAGAAAAUCAGGAGAACAGGACUCAGAAGUCAAGAGACAAAAGUGCUUCAGCCUGGAGGGGGAGGCCAGCAGGAUCAAAUGCUGCUGAGAGAAUUCACAUAUGAAGCUGACUAAAAGAUACACAAUGGACUUGGCAACAGAAAGAUCAUUGGUGACUUUAGCAAACUUCCGUGUCCAUGAUCAGGUUUUGCAUACCAGUGAAACUAGUGACAUCGGCUGGUCUAAAGGACCCCACAAGCAGUUGACUCAAAGAACAAAGUUUCCAAGUUCUGAUUUUCAUACCCCUUCCUCGAUCAAUCAACAACCACAAUUUUCUAGCCCCUUGCCCUUCAUAAUUCUCUUAAAAACCCCAGCCCAGAACCCCUCAGAGAUGGAUUCGAGGGUCUCCUUCCAUCUCCUUGCUCAGCCACCCUACAAUCAUUAAAGGCUUUCUCUGCUGCAAACCUUGCUGUCUUGGUAUAUUGGUAUGUCACUUCACAGUGGGCAUACAAAACUGUUGGUCCUGUAACAGUAUACAUCUAUUGGUUUGGGAUGCCAGCAUUCCUUACCCACUUCUGGUAACAUCACCUCUUUCUCUUAGAGAAUCCUCUGACAUCUUGUGGUCUUCAAAAGGCCUCCCA
rnacentral:lncRNA from 10 species